GUGAUAGUCGGGAACUAGAAAACUCAAAUAGAUACAACUUUCUAAAUGGUUAAACGCGGCACGUGUAUAACUACAACCUAUUAGCAAGUCGGAGAUUUCUGAAUUUCAUAAUUACCAUUAGCAUUUGAACGUGGCAUAUCUGCCGUAUAGCGUACGAGUAACCUACAAAUUGAGUGCUGACGUGUACUUUUCAGCCAACAGGAACAGACUGGCUUCUUCGUCAAGGAAUAAGUGUCCUACCUAUGUUUAUGUAAUCCUACACCAUAGCAUCCAUUACUUUGGAGGAGAUAUGUUGAGAGUAAAGGAAGGUUUAGGACCAGCAAGUCAUGGGCCUUGUGGCAAUGGUGAUUACCUCAUCAUGCACAAUACCACAACAGUAUUCUACAAUGUGAAAUUCUCUUUGGACUUAAGCAGCUGUUUCUACUCAGCAAUCUAACCACUGCAUAGAAAAAAAGAGGAGGAGGGAACUGGGCCGCGGCGUAGCACCAAGCCAAACAGAGAAUGGCGGCAUCAUGACAUGAGCUGGUGAGGCGUAAUUGAAAGCAGAUGCGAGCAGAGCACGCUGGAGUUGGAACACAGAGUUAUGCAGACCCGCCCCUCUGACACUUGAACUAUCACUCGAGCCAGGAAAUUAGAGAAUGGGGAAAGGGGGGUGUGCGUAUGUGUUUAGGUGGGGAUUCCACUUUAAUAUCGUCAGAGAGCAACUGAAUCAUGAGUAGAGGGCAAGUCAUUCUCAUUAUUUGUACAACAUAAAUUAUGAAUGUUUUCCAGUUUAUUUCAAGGGCCUUAUUACUAUACAGACUUUCUACUGCAUGAAAUUUCAGUCACAGGUGGGAUAUUAUGCAAAAACAUGUUUAUUUUGCAAGGGGAAGUCAACCAACCGAUUCAGGUUACUCAAACCAAGUCUCACUGUUUGAUGCAAAAUGGGGUGGAAAGGAGUGGCCUCCAAUUCAACCCCAGUGUUUCCACAGAAGAUCAUUGUUAUAUCUUAUGGGGAUCAAAUUGUAUGGAUGUGCCGUAACCCUGAACCUUUCAAUACGUUUUCCAAAUCCCUCCAAAGUCCUCCGUUCAUUGGGGAAAAAAUCACCAAGGACCAUACACACUAUAGUUGUGUUAUAUAGUGUUUUGUACACUCAAUAUAUAUAAAUAGUGUGUAAAGAGUAUUUUUGUUGUCUCUUUGUGUCUUUUUUUACAUUUAUUUUAUUUUAUGUAAUAUCUUAUGUUGUUCUUUUCUAUUACUGUUCUAUACUUUGUCAUGUAUUUGUAUGUUUUAUGUGGAAACCAGGAAGAGUAGCUGCUGCAUGUGCAGAAGGUAAUGGGGAUCCUAAUAAACCAAACUAUUCUAUCUUUCCUUCCUUCUCUCUCAAAUCAAUCUAACUACUAACACUCUGUUUCUACUUCAUUUGAACAGCAGAUGUUAUUGCCACUCUAAAUAAGAUAAAAGCCAUUGACAGAUUUUCCAACCAUCUUCAGUUGUACUCCCCUCCUCAUGACUGUAUUAGAAGGUCAGGAAAACAGUGCCCUUUAAACUGGCUUUGAUUAUGACAAGAGUCCACCUAACAGUUUGUUGGAGCCACAGGCUUGUUUUGAUCCAGACAAUUAUCCUUAACAAAGUUUACCCUGGUCCUAAACAUGAGGACACUUUGAGAGUCAGAGAGUUCAGCUUAUUGGCUCUUUAGAGCGAGAGAGACAUUUAAUUGAACCUUUAUUUAACUAGGCAAGUCUGUGAAGAGCAAAAUUCUUAUCUAUAAUGACAUCCUACCGGGGGACAGUGGGUUAACUGCCUUGUUCAGUGGCAGAAUUACAGAUUUUUACCUUGUCAGCUCAGGGAUUCAACCCAGCAAACUUUUGGUUACUGGACCAAUCCUCCAACCACUAGGCUACCUGCCACCCCACAUCUGGUUUGAGGUUGCUCCCCCUCUCUGCAUGUAGGCUUGUUGUUGUCAAGAAGGGCCUUGUUCUUUAAUGCACUAAAACUACUACAGCUGUGAGACAGCAGUAUUGAACUGUUACCCAGUCUUGUGAGUCCUAGAGGGAGAGGUAUGUUUGAAAGCCAGCGGAUUUGGGCAGUGUGGCCAACGUGUACUAAAGAAACAUUCACAUUUGGGGACUGAGAACAGCAGUCGUUGAGGGAAACAGAUCAUCUCAUGGAGGUGACAGAAGAAACAUGUUAAUAAGUUCUCUCCUUGGUAACAGCUAAACAAAAUAAAAGUUUGUUUGUUAUUUGUUCACAAAGCUACGGAAGCAAUAGCUUCAUCUACGUGUAAUGUACAAAUACUGAAGAUUUGUCCCACAUCUGGACACUGAAUAAUAGUGGACCAAUAACAACUGGUGAAGGUUUUAGGUGUUUAUUAAAUAUGUUGAAUACAUUUACA